CCUACGGGUGGCAGCAGUGAGGAAUAUUGGUCAAUGGCCGGAAGGCUGAACCAGCCAAGCCGCGUGAAGGACGAAGGUCCCACGCGUUGUAAACUUCUUUUGUCAGGGAACAAAAUCAGGCUCGAGAGCCUGACCGAGGGUACUUUAAGAAAAAGCAUCGGCUAACUCCGUGCCAGCAGCCGCGGUAAUACGGAGGAUGCGGGCGUUAUCCGGAUUUAUUGGGUUUAAAGGGUGCGUAGGCGGAUUGUUAAGUCAGCGGUAAAAGCCCGGGGCUCAACCCCGGCGAGCCGUUGAAACUGGCUGUCUUGAGAUGGCGAGAGGUAGGCGGAAUGCGUAGUGUAGCGGUGAAAUGCUUAGAUAUGGCGCAGAACGCCGAUUGCGAAGGCAGCAUACCGGCGGUGAGCUGACGCUGAGGCACGAAAGCGUGGGUAUCGAACAGGAUUAGAUACCCUAGUAGUC
rnacentral:rRNA from 1 species